AGUGAACGCUGGCGGUAGGCCUAACACAUGCAAGUCGAACGGCAGCACAGUAAGAGCUUGCUCUUACGGGUGGCGAGUGGCGGACGGGUGAGGAAUACAUCGGAAUCUACUUUUUCGUGGGGGAUAACGUAGGGAAACUUACGCUAAUACCGCAUACGACCUACGGGUGAAAGCAGGGGAUCUUCGGACCUUGCGCGAUUGAAUGAGCCGAUGUCGGAUUAGCUAGUUGGCGGGGUAAAGGCCCACCAAGGCGACGAUCCGUAGCUGGUCUGAGAGGAUGAUCGGCCACACUGGAAUUGAAACACGGUCCAGACUCCUACGGGAGGCAGCAGUGGGGAAUAUUGGACAAUGGGCGCAAGCCUGAUCCAGCCAUACCGCGUGGGUGAAGAAGGCCUUCGGGUUGUAAAGCCCUUUUGUUGGGAAAGAAAAGCAGCAGGUUAAUACCCCGCUGUUCUGACGGUACCCAAAGAAUAAGCACCGGCUAACUUCGU
rnacentral:rRNA from 1 species